rnacentral:lncRNA from 1 species
GUUAGAACCAGUCAUCCUAGCAACCAGCGGUAACCAAGGGCGGCGGGGCAGGCGGUGUUCCGAACGUGACGUCAUCGCUCAACUCUGCGGGAGAAUUUUAAAGCGCUGACAUCACAAACAGAACGUCAUUCGCGCGAUUGUCUCUUUGGAAGAAGGACGGAUUUCAGAGAAGCUCUUAUCAGAUCCAUAACAGAGAGAAGAGAAGAACUAUGUCCAGAACCGAGGACCAGAGAACCGUAUCCGAUACCGAGGACUACAAAAUCUUUUUCGGCUUAACGCGUAAAGGUUUCCUCGAUACCCACUCCAAAAUCAAAAGCCUUAUGGGGACCGUGCUGCCCCAGAGCACGGGGGGCGACGUUCUGGGGUCGAGGACCAUCGCUGACUUAACCGACAACAUCUUGAAGGACGUGUUGAGACAGACCAGUUCCACCCUCAUAAAGCUCUGCGAGAACGAGUCCUCCUAUAGCGUCACUCAGGCUCAACAGAUGGGCAGCGAUAUGGCUGAGAAACUGGUCGAUUCUACAGCCGACAAGAUGCUGGAGUACUGGCACCUGUGCAUCGUGUCCAAUUGGUUAACCGCGGCCUCCUACGAUCACUGCGUAGAUCCCAACGUCGUGAUAGACUCCCUGUCUUCCCGAAUGGCGAAGGACGCUCUAAGUACUUUCUUCCAGUACUUGUUGAGCAUCUGCAUCAGGCAGAUGCCCAGCAAGACCAGGAGUGUUUUUGUAGACUCACCCAUGAGCAGAUUUCUAAUGGACGUCGCCGAGAACGCAGUGGGUUCAUUAAAACUAGGCGCUUCAGAGAAGAGAGUCUACAAGAAGUACAGUCUCUUUUCUGAGAAGAUACUGAGGGCAAUGCUUGGAUGUGCCGAAGAAGAGAAAGAAGAGGAUGAUAAGGACUUCGACAGCGAAAAAGACAUACUUGAAGUGAGUAGAAGCUAUAGGAAAACUCUCAAGACUGAGACACACAAAUUCAUCCGCAGCAGCAUCCUUAAAGAAACUUCAAAGAUCACGGCAUCCAUCCCAGGUCUGAGCGAUCCUGGAUUUCAUCUUACCGCUAAAUUGAAACGCUGUGCAUCAUUAACAUCUUCAGAAAUCGUGGAACUGCUGACCUCAGCAUUAUCGCUUAUCUUCAUCAAGAACAUCUACCCAAACCACGACAAAUCAGUGGUGGAGAGGAUAUCCAAAGCUCUGCUGAAGCUAACUCAGGAUAAACUCAAAGAGGCUAUAAAAACAAACCUACUUCUGAGGUCCAAGCAGAGCAUGUCCACUAGCCAGAGCGCUGUGCUCCAGGCCGGCUCUAAUCGAGUGGUGAGGAGAAUUAUCCGGGACAUCAAGGAAUACCUCAUGGCCUCUUUACUGGAAAAAACUCAGGCUUCAGUUCCAGCUAAAAAAUUCCUUAAAUCUAUGAAGAGACAAUUGGACAUCAUGGUCCAUGAGCAGAUUCCCAUCCUGCAACCAUCUCUACUGACCAGGAUAAAGAGAACAUUCCGCCAACUGAGGAACAGGAUACGUAAGAUGUUUGCCACAAAAGUGUCACCAUUGAACGUCCCACCCACGACCGGUGUCCAGGAAAGUUCUCCUCCUGAUCCUCCCUCCGUUUCUCCACCAGAGAAAAAGAAAAAGAAGUCAUGCAUCUUUUCAAGACUUUGCAGGACUUCAGGCUGCAGCAAAUGAAGAAAAGUUUUUGGAUGCUCCUGACUUCCGCUUCUUAGAUAGAUGGAUGUUUGGAUGGGUGGAUAGAUUAGGUUAGAUUAGUGGGUGUUGACUCUCUUGCAGCAGCAGCUUUAGGGGUUUAAACUGGACCGUAGUAGCUUCAUUUCCCAAACAGAGUACAAAGAGUUAAGCUCUGGUAUUUUAUUUAAAGACAAUUGAUCAAAGGGAUAGAUACAUAAAUGGAUAUAUGGACAGAUGGAUGGAUGGAUGGAUGUAUAGAUAGAUAGAUAGAUGGAGCUGGUUUAGGUCAGGGAUUCCCAGGGUUUGGCUGUGGUUUGUUGUGUGAUCCGGUGUCGACCCGAGGAGGACGGGUUCCCCCUGUGAGCCGUGGUUCCUCUCGAGGUUUCUUCCUCUCACCGUGAGGGAGUUUUUCCUCGCCCCCGUCGCCGCAGGCUCGCUCACUAGGGGCUCGGACCCGGAUCUACAUAGACUAACUGAGACUUUAAUGAUCUGAACAGGAAGCACAGGAAGUCUGGAGCUGAAAAACACUUUUUUUAUGAUGCUGCAGAAUAAAAUAAAAUAAAAGUAGUGUUCUAUAAAUAUU